UUCUACACUGGAAGUAAAGUAACAGUAGUUUGACAAGUUAGUACCUCCCAAAACUGAUGAGGACUAUUGUUUUUCUGGGUCUAAUUAAAAACAAAAUGGAGAUUAUAUAGAUAACUAGAAAGCGAAAAUUUCUGAAGAAAUUUUAUGUGUGCCUAUGCCGCUGCUAAUCUGUGUAGUUUGCCAUUCUUACGGCUGCUUAGGGCAAAACUCAGAAGAGCAGCCAUUCUCCACCAUGAACUAUGGUAAAAACAAACACCGCUCACACUUCACAGAUGACAGCUUACAGUUUUGUGUAAAGAUGAAGUUGCUUUGUACAGCCCCGAUUUGCAGACGCUGUGCACAGAGGUUCAUGAGCAGAAGUCCCCAUUGUAGCACGGCAGACCCGACAAUGUUUGCAUGAACACGUUUUGAAGCAUUACGUUAUGGACCACUUUUCACACAUGGUUGGUGUACCCACACAACCGGCUGUAGCUUUUCAACUUACACACACCCAAAAAACAGCCGAGAGAGCACAGACAACGCCCGAGAGGCGUGAUUGCAGAUGCCGCUCAGGUGGGUCCACCUCCCCUGCAGCGGCACUGCAGACCACGCCCCGCCACACACAUCAAACACGUAAAAUAAAUAUUUAUGCACUUUCGCAUUCACUUUUUGUUUUUUGUUAUUUUUACACAGUAAAUGAUUAACAAUGGUCUACAGCCAAACUUGUGUAUUAUUAUACAAACUUUGGUUGUAAGAUGCAGAUAACUAUUUAAUAAAAGCUAAAUAUUUUAUACGAGAGUAAGAAAGAAAAGUAUAUCUUUGUGUCCCCCUUUCCCUGUUAAUGCCCUACCUGGCCCCUGGCAAAAGCUUUGCUAGAUCCGCCCCUGCACAGUUACCAGCUGUCAGCUACACAAAAACAGGAGCUGGGUGUUUAUUUGUCUCUGAGAAACAGUUCAUAACUUCCCUUCAACUCAUUCAUGUCACCUAAAGCAGGGCUCGCAAAAUUUCAAAAUCCCUGGUAGCCCUUCGGGAGGCACUCUUCAGUUUUUGGUAAUAAUUUAAGUAGCCCGAAUAAAAAAAAAAAGAGGACAAUUUUUUGAUUGAUGUUUUGUUUCCUUUACAAUAUUAUACAUUAAAGUAUAAUACUGUAAAGGAAACAAAACAUCAUCUAAAAAUAUUUAAAACACAAAUUACAACAACAAUUUCAAUCAUCAACUCAAAUAUUUGGUUCUAAUUGAACAAAUUUCUAUGAACUUGUAAGAACUGUACAACAGGAAUCAGUCUGUGUCAGAUCCUUAUUUUUGACAUUUCCACUGAAAUCACAGGUAAGAGGCAAGUGCAACCAAGAUCUAGGCCAUUUGCUUUUUGAAGUUUGCAAAGACUGCUAAAUUUUGUCAGUGGUAGUUCACUCUUUGCAACAUAGUAGGCUGUUCUAAACAGAUUUUUCAGGACUUCUUGUUAUGCUUGGUUCAUUUUUAGUAUGCUUUUUGCAAUUGGUGUUUGUUCUGGGAAAGAUAUUGCAGACUGGGCAAUAAUGCAUUUCUUGCAUUUGUCAUGGGUUCUGAUGGGUCUUUCUUAAAAUGACUGGUCCCAGUAACAAAGGCGCUUGUCGACUCAGAAAUCGAGGGAAACUCACAACACACCCGGCAGAACAUGAGGUUAUUUAGCUCGUCGUAUUCCAGCCACAUAAAUUCUUUAGUCCAUGAAACCAUAAAGCUGCGCUUUCUUUUUCCCUCAUAGUCUGAUUUGUCAUAACUUUUCCGUUUUGUGGUUGGCUUUUCUUUGGCUGCCCCUUCUUCACCCUGACCUCUCUUGUUUGGCUCUGCAGAACUAAAAUACCUGCUUAAAUCCAUCUGCUCUUACAUGCAUAUUUACAUAACGAUCAGCAAUUCUCUGCGUAAUCAGCCUCUAUCACGUUUAAGCUUGCUGCAGGAGAUUUCACUUGUCAUGUUUGAUAGUAAGCUAACGAUUGAUAAGACGAUGUCAGAGGAAGUGGUGUGCAAUUAAUCUGUGACUUACCAAUUAGUGCUGUCGCUCUCUACACACAGUUAGCGCAAAGUGAAAGUGAAAGCAAAAAACAAGCGCAAAUUCAAACGCGAUUUCAAUGUGUCACAUAUUGACAGUGGCUCAUCGAUGCCGAUGACAUAAUUACUCAGCUACAUUUGCGAAAGAAUGCAAAAGCAUUGACAUAUCUUUCCCUCCCAUGAUAGCCCGACGGGCAGGGCUGAGAUGGAUUUUGGUAGCCCGACUGGAAAAAUCGCUAGCCCCGGGACGUCGGGCUAGCGAUUUUGCGAGCCCUGUAAAGGGUAAACCUGUUUCUCCAUCACCAGUUCAGCUCUGAUGAUUCAGUAAGGACUCUCCUGGUUUGGACCAGCCGCAAAAUUAAAAUCAAAUGAAUUCUAACAACAGCUGAUCAAGCUUAAACGUGCUGCUGUUGUUUAGCGCGAUAAACAAGAGCGAAAAGCCGAUCGUUGAUCAGUUUCACGAUUGAAGUUGCAACAGGCCAGAGAAUGACAGGGAGGCUUCAUAACGACAGAAUAAAUUGUAAUAUUUCUCUGAAUGUGGGACGAUUCCGUUUGUACGGCAACUCUACGGACUAACCGUUAUGAAUAAAAUAAAGUUCAACGUCAGUAACUUAGCGCGCACACAGCUCUAUAGAAACUCCUGUGCAAUUCAUAACUUCUUACCUGAAAUUCAGUUCACCUCACGCUCCUGCCUUAGGUUUGCCUGAUCCACGAUCUACCACCGGUCGAUCGGCGGUCCCCUCGCCGCCUCCUAUGUCUCGUUCCCGCAUGUUUUUCUGACACACACCGGUAGAUAGCUGCUCUCUGUUGUAGCUGCGCGUUAGCCAAGACCAAACAACUCAGUUAUUAUUUCCACAUGGACCAGCAUCAUCGGCCCAUAUAAACGAAAAAUAAGUCCACCUAAGACAGUCUGUUGGCGAGCGAACAGGUGAUGGUCAGCAGUCUCACUGAAGGCAAGCCCGGGUGCUCGAAGGGUCGCUAGCCACGCUAGCUAGUUAGCCGGCAACAUCGUCAGAUAUAAUAUGGAUGUUUUGACAAAACGAGCAGAUAUUUGAAGUUUACACACCUACAUUCUCGCCUGAAAAUAUCUUAAAAGUUCAUUUUGUGACCUAGAAACACGAAUAAAAGACGUUUAAAACGGAGAGGUGUCCGCCAUUGUUGAACUCGGCAGAGGCGUGCUAUGCAUUAUGGGAUAUUGAGUUUAAAAACAAGCAUACAGAUUUCGGCCGUACUACUCCCGGUAUACCACUAGAGAGAGCCAACCCACCACAAAUAAAGUCUGUUUCUAUGGAAAUUGGCCUAAAUUUGCACUAAAAUCUAAAUAUUUCAAAAACUAUAAAAGUCAUGAACACCAAAAGUGUAUACCAUACUAGUCCAGCUCCAGCCGCACAAAAUGAUCUAACAUAUGUAACCCUAUUGUCAAAACUGUUAGGCAGAGAGGCGCGGGAAAAUUUUCACUAAAAUAUUAAUAUUUAAAAAACUAUAAUAGUUAUAAACACCAAAAGUCAUAGCACACCAUUCCUGAUCCAGCCGCACAAAAUGAGGUAACAUAUAUGAAGCUUGUCUCAAAACUGCGGGGCGAGAUUCGCUGCAAAAUUUCAGGCGGAAACUGGAGAAUAAUAAUAAUAACUAGAAAGCGAAAAUUUCAG
ensembl:lncRNA